UAUACAAAUCAUUCUCAAAGGUCCAUUCAACUUUGCAAAUGCACAAUGACGUUGGAGCGAGUGGCAACCUGAACGUAUUCCUAGUUACCAAUAAGCUUCACCUCCGGCCCACAUAACAUUCAUUACUAUCUCUACUCCUAAUGAAGCAUUUGGUAGUCUUCGCCGGUUAAUUUUCGUCCCACCACUUUUGUCCGGGUUUUUUUUUCGUCCGGUGCUCCUGUUGGUUUUCCCCCUCCGCAUCGCCGCUCGAUCCAACUCCUCCCUCUCCCUCGGUCUCGCCUCUCCUAUGGUUCGCCGCCCGCCGCCGUACCCCGCCGCCCUGCUCCGCUGUUGCCCCUCCCUCCGCCUGCCUCGCCCCUGCUCUAGGGUUCGCCGCCCGCCGCCGCCCCCCGCCGCCCUGCUCCGCUGUUGCCCCUCCCUCCGCCUGCCUCGCCCCCCUCCCCUACACUCACCCCUGCCCGAUCUGGAUCUGGAUGAGGCGUUGCCUCCCGUUCCUCUCAUCGCGUCCCUUGUGCCAGCCAUGGGAGAGGGGAGGAAGAAGGGGAGGGAGAGCAAGGAGGAGGAGGAGGAGGAAGAAGAAGAACCUUCUCUGUAGAAUCAGCAGAUCGAUCUCGUCGAUGCUGCAGGGCCUGGCCCGUUCCAUGUCUCUGGGAAAGGAGAGGAAGGUGGAGGAGGAGCACCAGGGGACGGUGCUGCGAUCGUCGGGGACGCUCUGGGGCGAGGGCUCCGAGACGUUCGCCGCCGCGUGCUGGACGUACAAGCACGAGCACCACCGCUGGCCGUUUCCUCCAUACUGACAGAUCGCCGUGUCGCUAUCCUUGUAUGUUGUAGCCAGGAGGAGAGGUAGGCGCGGUGCCGCUCAUGGCCGUGGCGUCGUGCUUGUGGUCGUGGUGAAUUGGAGAGAACGGCCUCCUAUCCAUGCACGUCCAUCUACUGCGGGCCUUCCCUCUUCCAGCAACAUCAUGUCUCAGUUUGCCACCGCCAUUCAUCCGGAUGGCCCUGGACAUACAUACCAGCACCACACCCUUCCUCCUGUUGCUGGGGUAAGGAUGGCAGUUUUACCCACAGGUACGGGUACCCGCGUGGGCAGGGUAUGGGCACAAUUUUAUACCCAUGGGUAAUACCCAUACCCUGCCCGUUAAGUCAUGGGUAGGGUACGGGUAUAACCUUGUACCCGCGGGUAUACCCAUACCCUGCCCGCUUGUAAACUAAUGUUAAGUUGUCAUCAAUUAAUCAUUAAUUUGUCAUGUGGCUUGUCUACUCCUAUUGAUUUAUGAGUAUGUUGUACUCAUCUACCAGUUAUUGAGUUGAGAUAAUUGUUUUUUGUCAAAUGUGCUACCAAUGAGCGUAAAAAUGUGAACAACUCAUGUACUAUUUGUUCUACCCGCUGGUACUCAAUGGGUACGGGUACCCGUCGGGUAUGGGUAUGGGUAAAGUUUCAUACCCAUGGGUAUGGGUAUGGGUAGAAUUUUGUACCCACCGACUAUACGGGUAUGGGUAUGGUAUUGCUCUACCCUGCCCAUACCCUACCCAUUGCCAUCCUUAUGCUGGGGACGUAGCUAUCAUCCACGCACCAGUGACUCACAUACGUUGCUAGCUGUGUGCAGGGUAUCAUUAAGUUCACAUGUAUUUAUCAGAUUGUGUAACUAGCUUUUGUUACUUGGUCCAUCCCUAGGAAGCAAUAAGAUUACUUCAGUAUGCAUAUACACGUUGCUAGCUACGUGCAGGGUAUCUCAAGUUCACAAAUAUUUAUGAGAUUGUUUUACUAGCUUUUGUUACUAUUUGGCCCUUCAGUAUGCAGAUUAAUCUCAACAUUCAUAAGAAUCUUCAAAAAAAAAAUGGAGAUGAAAAUACUUCAAGUAGUUCUGAGUGGAGAUCAUUUGAUAGCAUUUUGUUGUAGCAUCUACAGAAGACCUUUUCAUUUCAUUUUACCGAGAAACGCUGGAGGGUUCAUGUUUUCCUUAUCCAGGACAUUUUGAAGGUUCCUGAUGCAUUCUUACAAGAAGCAACAAUCCAGAGGUAAUUAGUGAAAUGAUAAGAGGGUCAAUUAAUGGUGUUCAAUUUUUCCUUCAAGCAAACAGUUUGUACCCAAAUACAAUACUAUUCAGUAUCAUCCUGAAACCAAUAUCUCAAAGCUUCAUUCUUUAUGGAUUCGAGCCUUGGCAAACCACUCCCAUUACAAGGUUCCAUAAACAUGCUGGAUUUGUAUGUCGAUAUUCAAAUUAAUUGGGCAAAAAAUAGAUAUAUGUACUUUGAUGUUUUUACAUAUUCAGGUGAAUAGCAUCCUGUUUUUACUUCAAAUAAUUAACAAAAAAUUAAAGAUCGUGAUUAUGUUGUUUAUUAAAUUCCUCUUGCAUUAUCUUUGAUGAAAAGUAUAUUAUCUGUCAGCAACGAUAUGUUAAUAUGGGCAAAGGAAAGUCAAAAUAUGUUAUCUCAGGCCAAUAUUCUGAAAUUAGUGAAGCCCUAUAGUAUUUACUGGAUUGAUCGCGACACUGCUCAUAUUUUUUGGUACUUUAAUAUCUGAAAUAUUUCUUUUAAUCAUGAGCCGAGGAGAUGAUGGGUUGCAGGCACGCGCCCCGUCCUUCUCUUGUUCAAGGUUUGGCGGAAUGCAUUAAGUUUGGAGAGGAAACUAACAUGAAUGACCAGGCGAUCUUUUUCUGACCUUUUUCUCCCUUUCUAAUUACUCCUCUCAUUUCCUCUGUUCUUCUCAGCCAUCUACUUUUCUAUCGCCAUAUCGAUCUCUAAACUCACUUCAUCUUUUUUCUUCCAAUUCAUCCGAUUGUUGUGUUCCAAGCACACAUGUCAUAAAGCAUCACCUCCUGCUUGUUCGAACAUGUUUGAUGUACUUACAUAUUAACAUGUUUGAUGUACUUACACAUUAACAAAACUGAUCAGUAACAUUCAUGCCGAAUUAUUUGGGUUUGGUCCUCUGCUUUUUUACUGUUUAUUUAUUGAUGAAGAUAGCAGAUGUUCAUGUUUUUAAAUAUAGUUACAUGUGUUUGUACCAAAAAAAUAUAGUUACAUGUGCUUCCAGUUGGUAGAGAUCAAAAAAUUAACUCACUGAUGCAAGGAAAAAGAGCUCUUUUAUAGACACUGCCAGCAGUGGAUACAUGGUGAGCCUUUCUGAAUGUGUUUUAUGAAAUAAGGCUAAUUUAAGGUCAUUUUUUUGUUGGAUAAAAAACAGACAAUUGGUUAUUGGGUUAUUCGUGUUUGUUCUCAAUUUCUCAUGUCGCUCUCUUCUCUGUCCAGGGAUACGGGUGCCAGGACGACACCACCUUCUGCGGCGUCUGCCUUCCUCUCCUCCAGCGGGAGAGGCCCCUGCCUUCCUCUCCUCCUGCGUGGUGGCAGAUGGCCGCAGUUAAUGGCGCUCCUGCGAGCGGGGGACACGAGUGCGGUGCAGACAGUGACCAGGUGUGAUGAGACAGCCGCCGGCCGCCUGUGGGCGGUUCUUUCAUGUGUUGUAGACCGUGCCAUUCUAUGACGAGGAUGUGUUCCAGGAAAUGGAAACAAAUGAAACUGGAUGCUCAUCAUGUAUUUCAUGAAGAAAUUUGCAUGUCUGGGGCAUGUCUCCGUAUAAAAGGCCGAUCUCUGCACAACAGUAGUUUCUUCAGGUUGUGGUGUCCGAUUUUUUUCAUCUCAUUUUGCCAUGCACUAGAUUACAUGGUUAAUACUGUCACUAUGCAAUAACUGGGAAGAUUACGGAGGGAAGGGACAAUAUGUAAGAUGGGGCAAGGAGGCUGGUGUAGAUCUUGCUUCUCCUGACGACUUCAUAUCUGAUGCAACACUUCAGAGCUACUACAAAAACUUUUUUUAGGAAGCUACUACAAAGCUUUUUUUUCGGAAGCUACUACAAAGCUUUUGUUCAGGUAAAUUUCUAGCUUAAAUGGCCAUCGGAAAUGGAUUCCUGUUAUCCGUCAUGCUUGGUGACUAAUGGAUAUCAUCAUAUGCAUAGCUAUAUGAAAUGCUACCAGCAAACAGUUACUGUAGUUUACCAGCUCUGAAUUCUGUAGUCGUGUUUUCCUGUUAUACCAGACUUUCAAUAUUGUGCAUAUGUUUCCUUUUCUUAGCUUGUUUUUUCAAGAGUAAACACAAUCACAAAUGAGGCCUACAAAGACGAUCCUACCAUUCUUAAUUGGACGAUGAUCGUCGAGUCAUGCUGCCCUUCACAUCCAUCAGGCGAUACACUCUAGGAAAUAUGUCGAAGCACAGAAUAUAUUCCAUUUGCAGUGGACUAACAGAACAACACAACACAUAAAAAGAGGAGUAUAAGUGGAAACCUUUCUUUCUCUUUAAAUUCUUGAGGACGGUAACAUUAUGAUGAAGGUGGAACCAUAGAGAGAUGUGUAUUUUUAAUUGAGAUAUUUUCAGGAGUACCUUUGCAAAGCUGAUAUAUCUUUCUUUUACAAGAUAUGGUUGCACUUGCUUCAUCUACAUAGGCCGUCUGGAAUGCCAUGAGGCCGGGAUUGGUGUAGGAAAUCUUCAAAGCUAUUAUAUUGGUCUCCAGAAACUUGCAAUACAUCAAUGCAUUUUUAUUUUUAUUUUUUUGCUGACACCACAGCUACCACCUCUUCACUAAAUGACAGAGGUUGCCAGCAACUGCACAUGGAAAGAUUGAAUGUUAUAUUCUGUCUACUAAUCAAUAAGGAGGGAGAUCAAAUUACUGCUCUCAAAUAUUCACCUGAUUGAUUUUGAAAAUAGGGUUAAAAAUGGUGUUAUGAAUGAAGAUGGAUGGGGGUGAGGGCUGGGAGAAAGAUGUUGUAUUGCAAGAAGAAGUUGGUUAAGAAGACUGAUGAUUAUGAGAAUGAAGGACACGAACUUUUGAAUUAGACCAAUUGUUUGAUCGAUCAUUUUUGUUCUCUUGAAAACGAUGUAUGGUCAAUUUUAGUAUUCUGAUGUGAUUGAAGAAUAUAGGAGGGACAAAGAGAUGUGCUAUUGCCAGGACAAUUAUGACUUCUAUUCAGGUAUUCAGUUAUGAUUCUCCAUGGUCAUGCUUCUCCUGUUCACCUGGAAGUUUAUUGAUGGGAGGGAAGCCACUUCUGCUUUGAUGAUUUCUUGGAAGUUCAGCUAGGUGAAUUUACAAUCAGUAUAUACAAGUCAGGUUGUUUGCGAGAGAAUUUCAUUCCCUAGAAUCAUUGUCAUUGUUGUUGCCUACAAGGUACUUGAAGAAAAUGCCCGAGACAUAUUUUAAGAAGUAUAAUUCAGCACUAAGGCUAUUAUUACAACGAUGGAAUCUUUGUUGUGGUAGUUAUGCCUCCAAAUGCGUCGAUCCAUAUCGGCUUACUGAAGUAAACUUUUUUUUUGUCGAUUUCUAUUGGCUUACUGACAGCUUAUUUAUUCUUUUCGAAUUUUAAUUCCUUGAUCUUUGCCUCUGCCCAUCUCCAUAUCACACAGAAGGUGCUCAGUGCAAUGCAUCAUGCAGUGAUUCCAUGAUAGCUAGGAAUUAGGAACUGCCCAUCAUUUGUAUGUUUCUACAAUUUUCCUGCUUGUUGGAACAUGUUUGAUGUACUUACACAUUAACAAAAAUGAUCUGUAACAUUCAUGAAAAUAUUUGGGUUUGGUCCUCUGCUUUUUUA